CCACCUCUCCCAGCCGCAUUGUGCCUUCUUUGAGGCCAGGGCUCCAGCUACGCCUCUCCGUGGCCUUGGCAGUUCUCUAGGUAGAUGCUUCCCAACUCACUGAUGGGCCAGGAGUGAGGUGUGGGGCUGCCUCGCUUAGCCCAGGCUCUGUGGAGACUGCAGUCUGGGAAGCUGGGCCUCUGUGCAGAGGGGCCUCCUGGUCGUCAGAGCAGCCCGCCCCUGUG
rnacentral:lncRNA from 1 species